rnacentral:rRNA from 1 species
GCCCUAGUAACGGCGAGUGAAGCGGCAACAGCUCAAAUUUGAAAUCUGGCGCAAGCCCGAGUUGUAAUUUGUAGAGGAUGUUUCUGGCGACGUACCUUCCGAGUUCCCUGGAACGGGACGCCAUAGAGGGUGAGAGCCCCGUACGGUUGGUUGCCUAGCCUUUGUGAAACUCCUUCGACGAGUCGAGUAGUUUGGGAAUGCUGCUCUAAAUGGGAGGUAUACGUCUUCUAAAGCUAAAUACCGGCCAGAGACCGAUAGCGCACAAGUAGAGUGAUCGAAAGAUGAAAAGCACUUUGAAAAGAGGGUUAAAUAGUACGUGAAAUUGUUGAAAGGGAAGCGUUUAUGACCAGACUUGGGUAGGUUGAUCAUCCGUGGUUCUCCGCGGUGCACUCUGCCUGCCUAGGCCAGCAUCAGUUCAGUUCGGGGGAUAAAGGCUUCGGGAAUGUAGCUCCCUCGGGAGUGUUAUAGACCGUUGCGUAAUACCCUGAUCUGGACUGAGGUUCGCGCACUGCAAGGAUGCUGGCGUAAUGGUCAUCAGCGACCCGUCUUGAAACACGGACCAAGGAGUCGUCUUCGUAUGCGAGUGUUCGGGUGUCAAACCCCUACGCGUAAUGAAAGUGAACGUAGGAGAGAGCUUCGGCGCAUCUCCGACCGAUCCUGAUGUUCUCGGAU